rnacentral:rRNA from 1 species
GAUGAACGCUGGCGGCGUGCCUAAUACAUGCCAGUCGAGCGAACGGACGAGAAGCUUGCUUCUCUGAUGUUAGCGGCGGACGGGUGAGUAACACGUGGAUAACCUACCUAUAAGACUGGGAUAACUUCGGGAAACCGGAGCUAAUACCGGAUAAUAUUUUGAACCGCAUGGUUCAAAAGUAAAAGACGGUCUUGCUGUCACUUAUAGAUGGAUCCGCGCUGCAUUAGCUAGUUGGUAAGGUAACGGCUUACCAAGGCAACGAUGCAUAGCCGACCUGAGAGGGUGAGCGGCCACACUGGAACUGAGACACGGUCCAGACUCCUACGGGAGGCAGCAGUAGGGAAUCUUCCGCAAUGGGCGAAAGCCUGACGGAGCAACGCCGCGUGAGUGAUGAAGGUCUUCGGAUCGUAAAACUCUGUUAUUAGGGAAGAACAUAUGUGUAAGUAACUGUGCACAUCUUGACGGUACCUAAUCAGAAAGCCACGGCUAACUACGUG